AAAAGAAACUAACAAGGAUUCCCCUAGUAACUGCGAGUGAAGCGGGAAAAGCUCAAAUUUAAAAUCUGGCGGUCUCUGGCCGUCCGAGUUGUAAUCUAGAGAAGUAAUGCCCGUGCUGGACCGUGUAUAAGUCUCCUGGGAUGGGGCGUCAUAGAGGGUGAGAAUCCCGUCUUUGACACGGACUACCAGUGCAUUGUGGUAUGCUCUCAAAGAGUCGAGUUGUUUGGGAAUGCAGCUCAAAAUGGGUGGUAAAUUCCAUCUAAAGCUAAAUAUUGGCGAGAGACCGAUAGCGAACAAGUACCGUGAGGGAAAGAUGAAAAGAACUUUGGAAAGAGAGUUAAACAGUACGUGAAAUUGCUGAAAGGGAAACGCUUGAAGUCAGUCGCGUUGGCCGGGGAUCAGCCUUGCUUUUGCAUGGUGUACUUUCUGGUUGACGGGUCAGCAUCAAUUUUGACCGCUGGAAAAAGACCUGGGGAAUGUGGCAGCUUCGGCUGUGUUAUAGCCCCUAGUCGCAUACAGUGGUUGGGAUUGAGGAACUCAGCACGCCGCAAGGCCGGGUUUCGACCACGUUCGUGCUUAGGAUGCUGGCAUAAUGGCUUUAAGCGACCCGUCUUGACCAAC
rnacentral:rRNA from 1 species